ensembl:snRNA U6 U6 spliceosomal RNA
GUGCUUGCUUCGGCAGCACAUAUACUAAAAUUGGAAUGAUACAGAGAAGAUUAGCAUGGCCCCUUCACAAGGAUGACACUAUGACACACACACAAAGCACCUGAUUUAU